UACGUAGGGUGCAAGCGUUAAUCGGAAUUACUGGGCGUAAAGCGUGCGCAGGCGGUUAUGCAAGACAGAUGUGAAAUCCCCGGGCUCAACCUGGGAACUGCAUUUGUGACUGCAUGGCUGGAGUGCAGCAGAGGGGGAUGGAAUUCCGCGUGUAGCAGUGAAAUGCGUAGAUAUGCGGAGGAACACCGAUGGCGAAGGCAAUCCCCUGGGCCUGCACUGACGCUCAUGCACGAAAGCGUGGGGAGCAAACAGG
rnacentral:rRNA from 1 species